rnacentral:rRNA from 1 species
AGCGAACGCUGGCGGCAGGCUUAACACAUGCAAGUCGAACGCCCCUUUCGGGGGGAGUGGCAGACGGGUGAGUAACGCGUGGGAACGUGCCCAUCGGUUCGGGAUAACCCAGGGAAACUUGGGCUAAUACCGGAUACGACCGUGAGGUGAAAGAACUUCGCCGAUGGAUCGGCCCGCGUCUGAUUAGCUGGUUGGUAGGGUAACGGCCUACCAAGGCGACGAUCAGUAGCUGGUCUGAGAGGAUGAUCAGCCACACUGGGACUGAGACACGGCCCAGACUCCAACGGGAGGCAGCAGUGGGGAAUAUUGGACAAUGGGCGCAAGCCUGAUCCAGCCAUGCCGCGUGAGUGAUGAAGGCCCUAGGGUUGUAAAGCUCUUUCGCACGCGACGAUAAUGACGGUAGCGUGAGAAGAAGCCCCGGCUAACUUCGUGCCAGCCGCCGCAGUAAAAC